AGGGCAGUAGCUCGAAUGGUAGAGCAGCGGUCUCCAAAACCGCGGGUUGGGGGUUCGAAUCCCUCCUGCCCUG
rnacentral:tRNA from 1 species